ensembl:snRNA U6 U6 spliceosomal RNA
AAUAAAAAAGGAUAGUGCUCGUAUAAAAUCGGAAUGAAAUAGAGAAGGUUAGCAUGGCCCCUGCGCAAGGAUGACAUGCAGAUCCAUAAAGCAUUCCGUAUUUUU